GACACUUUAAUAGGACUUAAUGUAUGUGCAGUCUGCACAGGCUAAUCUGAGAUGACACUUUAAUAGGACUUAAUGUAUGUGCAGUCUGCACAGGCUAAUCUGAGAUGACACUUUAAUAGGACUUAAUGUAUGUGCAGUCUGCACAGGCUAAUCUGAGAUGACACUUUAAUAGGUCUUAAUGUAUGUGCAGUCUGCACAGGCUAAUCUGAGAUGACACUUUAAUAGGUCUUAAUGUAUGUGCAGUCUGCACAGGCUAAUCUGGGAUGACACUUUAAUAGGACUUAAUGUAUGUGCAGUCUGCACAGGCUAAUCUGAGAUGACACUUUAAUAGGUCUUAAUGUAUGUGCAGUCUGCACAGGCUAAUCUGAGAUGACACUUUAAUAGGUCUUAAUGUAUGUGCAGUCUGCACAGGCUAAUCUGAGAUGACACUUUAAUAGGUCUUAAUGUAUGUGUAGUCUGCAC